rnacentral:rRNA from 1 species
UACGUAGGGGGCUAGCGUUGUCCGGAAUCAUUGGGCGUAAAGCGCGUGUAGGCGGUCCGGUAAGUCCGCUGUGAAAGUCGGGGGCUCAACCCUCGGAUGCCGGUGGAUACUGUCGGGCUCGAGUACGGAAGAGGCGAGUGGAAUUCCUGGUGUAGCGGUGGAAUGCGCAGAUAUCAGGAGGAACACCAAUAGCGAAGGCAGCUCGCUGGGACGGUACUGACGCUAAGGCGCGAAAGCGUGGGGAGCGAACAGG